GGUUGUGGCUCAGUGGUAGAGUGCUCGCCUAGCAUGUGUGAGGCCCUGGAUUCGAUCCUCAGCACCA
rnacentral:tRNA from 1 species